CAGCCCUCUUUGGAAGAGCCUCUCCAUUGUUUUCAGCAAUGCCAGGCUCACCCGUGGGAGAAGCCCUACCCUCUGACCUCGGAGAAAGGCCCCGGGAGAAUGAGCUGUAGUAGAGGAGGUUUGAAGUGGCUUUACAGGAAAGCAAAGCUCUGGCAGAGAAUCGUUUGUGAUAAGAAGCCACGUGACUCAUGGCAGCAGCUCUCAGACUGCAGAGAUGAGCUCGGAUGUGAAGACUCCCAGCGGCAUCCCAGCGCUCUUACUCAUUAGCUAUGAGGUGGGGCGAUGCUGAAGGCCCCGGAAAAGACCUGCUCCAGGCACACACCAAUCGAGAACAACUUUGGGGACUCCAGGACCUCUGAUUUGGGUUGGGGCACAGACCUCCCCCUGUAGAUGCCAAGCACACUGCAAUCUCUUCUACUUGAUGUUUGGUGCAGGGUGGUAGCAUCCCAAAUGCCCUCACUCUAAUCCUGGAACCCAUGAAUGUGUCACACUGAUGUGAUAGAAGGGAGCUAAGAUUGAACAUGGAAAGAAGGCCAUUAAUCAGUUGAUCUGGAAACUGGGAGAUGAUCCUGGAUUAUCCGGCUUGAUGCAAUGGGAGCACAAGCUUUGAAAAGGCAUUCGCUGAAGGUCUUGGGCUGUAUUCCCUGGAGAAUAAGAGGACCAGUGCAGUGCAGUCCUUCUUACUGGCUCUGAAGAAAGAAGGACUCAGUCCCCUGGAGACACACUGAUGACUGGCAGGGACCUUCACCUUUGUGAAAGGCACACAUCCAGAGUGACUGGCAGACGUGCACUGUAAAGUUCUAAUGAACCUUCUACCCACAUCCUUGGGGUUGCUGACUCCUUCAUACACAUUUAUUUUGUGGGAGAACAGCAGGCUGCAGGCCCAGCCUGGAGCUCACUCUCUAGCCCUUUGGAAAGAGACCCAGAUUAAUGGUUUGUCCUGCCUUCCCCUGGCCCUGGCCAGCCUCAGGCUGAAGGCACUUGUCCUAGUUAGGUUUCUAUUGCUGUAAUAAACACCAUGACCAAAAGCAACUUGGGAAAGAAAGAAUUUAUUUCCGUUUUUACUUCCAG